AUUUGUCUAAAAGUAGAGGGGGAAAUAAAAUGACACGGCCCGGGAGCCCCAAGGUGUAUUCUGUUGAAAAAAGAAAAAGAAAAACUACAAACAAUUCUAAUAACAAGCGGAAGAAGCUAUGAUGGAGAAGAACGAAUUUCAUGGAAACGCGGCCUUUUCCGGGGGCGGAUUCAUGCCUUCUCAAUCCACUGAGACCAUCCCCGAUCGUCCCUCCUCCUCCUCCAAAAGUGAUGCACGGUGCUCAAUGCCACUUACAGAACAGUGAAGCAGUUGAAGGAUCUCUCAAGAGGUGGAGAAUAUGGUAUUUCCAUUGAUGGUGUUGAUGUCAACAAUGUAGGCUUUGAUCUCUGUUUUCUUUUCCAUAAAUAAUCAAUACUUUUCUAAAUGGUUUAUGAAAUUUGAAAUUUUGGUUUUUUGUCUUUAGAUUGUGCUAGUGGGGAUGGUAUCCAAGAUAGACAAUCCUGUCUCAGAUUGUACUUUUAGAGUUGAUGAUAGCACAGGAUGGGUUGAAUGCGUUAAUUUUCCCUCUUCUUUUAGUUAUUCUGUUUAAGUUUUCUAUGCUACUAAACGUGUAUAUAUAUAUAUAUGUGUGUUGUGUAGGAUUCAUGAACAAGUAUUCUACACACACUCAUAUCUCUGUGUGUGUAUGAAUUCUUACAUUAUGUUUCUUCUUUUCACUUUUUUUUAUCGGAACAAUAUAAAGUUAAAUAGCAUUAACAGUUAAUCAGACCACAUAA